UACGUAGGGGGCAAGCGUUGUCCGGAAUUACUGGGCGUAAAGAGCACGUAGGCGGUCUCUUAAGUCAGAUGUGAAAUAUGCCGGCUCAACCGGGAGGGUGCAUUUGAUACUGGGAGACUAGAGUGCAGGAGAGGAAAGUGGAAUUCCUAGUGUAGCGGUGAAAUGCGUAGAUAUUAGGAGGAACACCAGUGGCGAAGGCGGCUUUCUGGACUGUAACUGACGCUGAGGUGCGAAAGCCAGGGGAGCAAAC
rnacentral:rRNA from 2 species